GAGUUUGAUCCUGGCUCAGGAUGAACGCUGGCGGCGUGCCUAAUACAUGCAAGUCGAACGAGGAGGAGCAAUCCUUCGAGUGGCGAACGGGUGAGUAACGCGUUGGUGACCUGCCCCGAAGUGUGGGAUACCAGGCCGAAAGGCCUGCUAAUACCGCAUGGUCAACUGGGAGACUAGAGACCUGGUUGUAAAGUCGAAAGACGCUUUGGGAGGGGCCUGCGUCCCAUCAGCUAGUUGGUAAGGUAACGGCUUACCAAGGCGAUGACGGGUAGGGGACCUGAGAGGGUGACCCCCCACAAUGGAACUGAAACACGGUCCAUACACCUACGGGUGGCAGCAGUAGGGAAUAUUGCAUAAUGGGCGCAAGCCUGAUGCAGCAACGCCGCGUGCGCGAUGAAGGCCUUCGGGUUGUAAAGCGCUUUUAGCUGGGAAGAGCAAGGACGGUACCAGCAGAAUCAGCCUCGGCCAACUACGUGCCGGCAGCCGCGGUAAAACGUAGGAGGCGAGCGUUAUCCGGAUUUACUGGGUGUAAAGCGCGUGCAGGCGGUUUACUAAGUUGGGUGUGAAAGCUCCUGGCUCA
rnacentral:rRNA from 1 species